ACCCGGUACGAAGUACUUUUAUAAUAAUAUGUAAUCUGUCUUAAUACACCUUGACAAAAUACGUGCGAUGCAAUAUGUGAUUAUUGUUUUAAAAAGACGGUAGUAAACAUUUUCGCCAUUCCUCAAAAAGUGAUACUCCACAAUCUAUAUUUAUUCUUCGCUUCAGAGUUCCUUUAACUUAGUGCUGUCGGCCAAAAUUGUAAAAUUCACCAUUUACGUAUCUUAAAACUUAUACCUACAAAAGUUUAAUUACUAGUAACAUUUUGACUACCCAGAAUGAAUUUAAUGCCAACGUGUUCGUUAGAGGAAAUAAAAAAUCCCUAUGUCCUUCUUGAGCGUUGGAGUAUGAACGAUAUAAAUUGUUACUUAAUGAGACCAGAUACAGAACAAAAUAAUCUAAGUACAGAAGAUGAUAGUGACAGUGAUUUUCAAAAAAGCAUUGAGCAUGUAAAUUCACACGACAACAAAAACUUUGUAAUUAAUUUUACUUCCAACGGCUGUACAGAAGAAAAAAAAAAUCCAUAUGUACUUCUUGAACGUUGGAGUAUGGAUGACAUCAAGUAUUAUCAAGUUUAGUCUUAUAUUAUGUAGACAAAUGACAAUAGUAAAGUAAAAAAAAAAAUUUGAAAAAAAAAUACAUUUUCAAAACCAUUAAUAUUAACAAUAAACCAAUAUAAUUUUUGUAUAUCAUUACUUCUGUAUUACAGCUAUUUUAUCAAUAGGCAGAUUAACAAUCUUAUCCAAAAAUGUGUAAAAGUAUGCACUCAUGAUACAUAAGAAUGUAUUUAUCAUGUACAUUUCAUACUAAUAAUCAAAUAAAUAUAAAUGUAUUAUUUAUUUAUUUUAUAAUAGUAUAUUGCGGCAUUAGUCAAAACUUUCAAGGUGUCAGAUGAUUACAUAUAUUAUUAUUGAUGAUUGUAUUUUAUUUAAUACUUUGAUUAUGUACAAACCCAUUUGGUAAAUUGGAAACCACUUAAUUAUUUAUUUGUAUGUAGAGUAAUUAUCAACAAAGCAAUUUUUUCAUUUGUUUAUUCUCAUUAAUUUUAUGUUAAAUGCUUGUUGUAAAAACUCUUAGUUAUUAAUAUUCUCGACAAUAUUUUUCAAAUAAGUUAAACAUCGUACUUUAGUUUUGAUUAUUCAAUGCAAAUAUUUUUAUUCAAAUUAUAAUAUUAGUUUAUAAUAUUAUUAGAUAAGAUCAUUAAAUCAAACCAGUAGGUGAUUUAACAACAUGUUUAAUUAUUAUUUGAAAUAAUAAUGUAUCACUGGAAGAUGACCUGUGCAGAAACCCAAAAAAAAACAUUAUUAAAUAUGCUUAGACAGAUGUAAAUACAGGAGUAACACAUUUUUUAGCCCGUUAUCUUGUGGGGCAGAUUAUACAUAAUAUUUCAUUUUUCCUAUUUUAAUUAUACUAAUUGUCACUACACAUACUAUUUUAUAUUGUCUUAAUAGUUCUGUCAGAAUUAGAUUAGAAUUAUUAUGUUUGUAAUUAUUUAAGAUCUCUUAAUAAGUGUGUAAAAAUUAUUUUUAAUAUUAUAUUUAUAUUUUCUAAA